rnacentral:rRNA from 1 species
UACAGAGGGUGCGAGCGUUAAUCGGAAUUACUGAGCGUAAAGCGCACGUAGGCGGCUUGGUAUGUCGGGUGUGAAAUCCCCGGGCUCAACCUGGGAACUGCAUCCGAAACUGCCUUGCUAGAGUAUGGGAGAGGGAAGUGGAAUUUCCGGUGUAGCGGUGAAAUGCGUAGAUAUCGGAAGGAACAUCAGUGGCGAAGGCGACUUCCUGGACCAAUCUGACGCUCAGGUGCGAAAGCGUGGGGAGCAAACAGG